rnacentral:lncRNA from 1 species
AUAGUCAGAGCUUGUCCCUCGCAAAUCAUAAUCAUUCCAUUCCUGUGCUUCUCUGAACCAGAACUUCGCUGAUUCCCCCAAAAUUAUCAAAUAGAUUUAAACAGAUGCAUAUAUUGCACAACGAUCAUCACUACCUUGAAUAAGAGCUUUGACAUUUAUUACAUACAAAAAAAAAAUAGUCCGAAGGUAUGAUCAUCUUUUACAAUCCAUAAAAUAUAUAGAAAAGGAUACACGUAAGUAAUUUUAAUUUCCGUAGCCCAAAAUAACGAGAGAAGAAGAGAGAGACAGAAAAGAGAUGCUAUUUCAGGAAAUAAUUAGACAUUGACAUAGUCAUUUUAUCUCUCUUCUUUCUAACAACCCAUCUCUUUAUCUUUUCUUUGUUCUAGCAAAAAUUCUUAAGGAGGCAGAAGAAGAAGAGAACCAUCGUAAGAAGAUAAAGACUUCUUACUCGCAUUUGAUAGACCGGUAAAUGUGACGAACGAAGAAAAGUGCAGCGCGGAAGCCGACAGUCCCGAGCAUUAAGAAGAACCCGUAGCAAAUGCAAGCCAUGUACCCGAAGAAGAACGAUGUUUGCAUGAAUCCAGACAUGUCUGAUCGUGCGUAGUAGUAGUAUAAGCAGUAGGCGUAGAUAAACAAACCAGUCGACCCACCACAUAGGAAUGAUCUGCAAAUAAAAACAGUCUCAGGUUCUAUUGUUCAGAGAGAGAAGAAGGUAAAGACAAUGGGAAAUGGCUUAACGAACCUCCACCACCAUUGGUGAUCUUCAGCAGCGAGCUGGAAGUAAGUCAAGGCGACGGUUAUAAAAGCAGUGACGAUGAUGAGGAUGAUGAAGACGAUGAAUAGGAUGCUGUAGAUGGUGUAGAUCCGGUGACCCCAGACACUAGCGAAAAUGUAGUAAAGCUCGAUGUAGAUGGCACUGAAAGGAAGGAAACCAGCCAUGGCCAUCUGAGGAACCGCGCUUCUGUACCAAGGGAGCGGCGGGAUCUCGCGGGGGUACUUGGUCGUGCGGCAGGGCGCUUGGAACUCAGCUUUGCUGUUUUUACCGGCGAUGCCACCCAAGACGAGUAAAGGCGAUGUGACAAGAGUCCAUAUAAGGACGAUAACGACAAUGGUUCCAAAGGGUAGUGCUGCGGUUGCAGUGUAGGUGAUGGCUACGGUGUUGAGGAAGCAGAAGGUUAGGAGUAAAGGACCGCAGAAGAGACAUCCAGUGAGUAACAAGUUUCUCACCUGCAGUAAUGUGAAACAAAAAAAGUCGUUUAGUUUAUGUAAGAAGAUGAUUUGAGAAAGGAUUUGAUGUAAAAAUUAUUUACCCAGCUUUUGCCUUCAAGUUGGCAGUAGAAAGAGGCGGAAGUGUAUCCAGCAAUUCCAGAGGUUAGAGCGUAAAUGACAACCAAAGCGGUGAAGAGUGCUCCUCGGUUGUAAGGGUAGAACACUCCAACAAGAGCAAGCAUGAAAAUGAAUAUGGUCCUGAUGGGCGUGGACGAGCCUACUGUGAGUGAUAGUGAAGAAAUGGUUUAAGUAGAGUUAUGAAACACUUACAGGGUGAACAAUUGUGUGCCACUACCAAGUGAUGCAGCAAACAAAGAGUUGCGAGUUGGGAACCUAAACACAUCACCAUGAAUGUACUUCCAUCCAGUUUCCUCUAGAUCAUCAGCAGCUUCCUCGUCUUGAGCAUACCUGUAAAAAGAGUUAAUUAUCAGACAAGGAAAUGUAAAAUAGCUGACCAUGAGGGUGUAAGGAACUUACUUAGUGAAAUCGUUCUUGAGGACUCGCAUCAAGAUAGUUGCAAGGAACCCAGUCAAAAGCAGGACAGUGACACACGAGUUAAUAAUAGAGAACCAGUGAAUCUCCAGGUGAUGCGGAAGAGAAGAAGACAUAGAGUACUUGUCCAUCCUCUUCUCAAACGGAGUCUCAGUCUCCUUCCACUUCACCGUAUACAUAAACUCCGCAUCAACUUCCUUAUCCUCGGUAAGAUCCACAAGCGAGUGAGGAUCCAUCCUAGCACUGAUCUCAAUCACACGGUCAUUAUUGUACAGAAUCUCGAACUCGAUGUGCUUGUACAGGAAGUACUUGUACUCGCUCGGAUCAGAUUUGAUCUCCUUGUCGACUUUUCCAAUGAAGCCCCAGAUGGGGAGAUCGUCGUAGUACAUCUGGAAGUAGUAGUCUUUCUCAACGGCUUGUCUGAACUUUCUGACCUCUUCUUUGCUUAGCUUCUUCUUGCAGUAGACUUCGGAGUCUUUCUCUUCUCUGAAGUUGAGCUUGUACGGAGCGCUGACGAGACGAUCGCCGUUCAGAACCUCUCCAAGAGCUUCCUUCUUCUCUUUCACACCCUCUACAAAACCAAAAUCAAAGGGUAUAUCAGAUAACAAGCAAAUAGUGUGAUGAAUCUAUAUAAUAUGGACAGUACCUGGAACACAGAAGGGAAGAUCAAAGUAACGAUACGUCUCACUGCGAUCAAAAUCGAAUAAGAGGCCAAGAUCAGUCUAUAUAGUAUUCAAAUCUAAACACAGAUCCAUCCAUCACAAUGUCUAUAUGAUUAAUUCAACAGCAAGAGAUUCAUUGCAUUUCACAGCUUUUACAAUCAAUCCGCUGAUACAAUCUCAGAUCUGAAGUUCAGAUCUAGCCAAAAAGUCUCAGAGACGCACGCGAGCGUUACCUUGGAUUGUGGAAUGGGCCGACCUUGUUGGCGUAUAGAGGAACGAUGUCUCCCUCCUUGUAACGGUGGUCGGAGGCGUCGGAUCUGACAUAGCCGACGCUGGAGAGGAUUAUAGCUCCGAGUAAGAGGAGCAGCUUCGUCAUUUCGUUUUUUCUCUUCCUUCAAAUCAGUGAGAUCUGAGUUUGUGCUUUAUUAAUUCCGCACAAGGAAAACUGGAGACGACGAUACUUAUAUACAGCCCCAGACUUCAAUGCAAAGUAAUUUUUCUCAAAAGUUGUUAAAAUGUCUAAAUAUGUGUUACUGUCCAUAAAGCUUUUUUUUUUAAUUUAUUUUGUAAGAACUACUAAGGCUAUUGAAUAGUUAUAUAAAUGGUUACAGUAAAUAAUCAAAGCAUAUACUGAUUAAUUAUACAAAAUAAGAACGUAACUAUUUUUAAGCCCUUUUUCAAAAUAGGGAAGAUGGUGAAGAAUGCUUGUUGUUGUUGUAUGAUUAAAAUAUUUAAUUUGUUGCAAUUCAAAGCAAUCAUUAUAAAAUCUAAUAAUCAAAUCCUUUAAAUUAUACGUGCGUUAUACUUCAAUUAGUUUACUUUGCAUGAUCCCACGUCAUAAUAGAGAUGUAGAAGAUCAAUAAACAAUUUGAAACGUACAUUCAUUAUAACACACAACGUGCAUCGUUUUAUGCUGCAUGAAUACAGGUUCUUGAUUUCUAUAAGAACUAGUGGCAGGCAGUGAGAAACUACAAUGUUUCUACCUUCCUAAUGGAUCAAUAAAUGAAACGACCCGGGCGUUUGUUCUCUCUGCUCUUCUCCUUCAUAGCUUAUUCUCCAAGGACGUGCACCAGAAGGUUAUAUCCUAUGUGGAGUUUUGAUUUCCUCAAGACUGUGCUUUGAGCAACUUGCUAUUGAUUGUCUACUUCAUUUGUAGACACAUGUCUUGGACAAAUGGUUCUGCUUGCUGGCCCUGGACUGGAGUUUUGAUUUACAAUCCAACAAGAAAGCCUAUAGAAGGUUCUCAACAUCUUGACUUGACUAUAUUCUAGUUGUGUACCUGUCACUAUGACGAGCCCGUAGAGAAAUAAAAAGCAAAGCAGCAUCCUCAUAUUGUAGUACCUCACACUGCACGAAAAAUAAGCUAAACCAAACAUAAUCCACACAGACAAAGACAAAACAAAGUAUCAUGUAAUAAAGAGGAGUUUUUUAAAAGAUUACAGAGCCAAAACGUUGCCUCAGAACAAGCUGCAAAUCCAAAACAAACUUAAGUUAGUAAGAAUCCUUCUUCAGUUUAAAACUUCCAUAGAUAGUAGAUAUGAUGAGCCAAGCGUAAAGAUAUGUGAAAGAGAUAUAACAUAGAGUUUUGGCCACCAAUAUUAAACAUCAGAAGAAGAAUUAAGAGAUUAAAAAGCAUUCCCUGCAUCCACCAGCUGACUCUUUAUCUCUUUCUCCCACCACGUUCUCUCAAAGACAGUGUUAAGAUUUCUCCUGCUCCGACAUUGUAGUGAGCAAGCGACAUGUUGUCCUUUAAGAACCCAGCUUUGCCACUUAACUUUUGUUUGUUUGCUGGAAUUUGUGUUUCACCAGCUAUUUUCUCCUUCAAACUUCCUACAUUUUCGGAUAAUGACUGCACUGUGAUCUCAAUGACCUGCCCGUCAUCCACACUUGGAACAGAGACACGGAUCGUAGCUGAGCCCUGCAUACAUUUAAAACAAAAUAUGUAAGAUACAACUCAGACGAAAGAAAAAAUGAUUGAAGAGUUUACAGAAAACAUUACCGGAUGCUGAGCAAAAAAUUGUUCUUCGGGAAUAAGAGCUGACUCGUCGAAUUUUUGUCUCUUCGGCUCUGGCUCCUCAGGAAGAGGCGGUGGUGCUUCCCCAGGGGGUGGAGGAGGAGGCAUCCCAUGCAUAGGUGGUGGUUGCAUCAUCCCCAUAGGAGGUGGUGCAAGCUGACCAUAAGGUCUCGGAACUUGAAGAUGAGCAAAUUGUGAUCCCGGUGGAGGCGGCACAUGCAUACCCGCCUGCAUUUGUGGUGGUCGGUUCAUCAUCAUCAUCGACGGGUGUCCAGGUUGUCCAGGCAUCGAGAGCUGGUGUUGUGGAUGCAUGCCUUGCAUCAUUGGAACACCUAAUGGCCUCGGUGGCCCGGGGUACUGAACAGAAGGAGGAGGGCGAGGGAGGUUCAAGGCGAGAUUGGGAGGUGGUGGCAGUGGCCGGACUACUGGGACACCUAGGCGAGGAGGAGGAAGAGCAGCCGGACCAGGGAAGCUAUUGGGAUCUCCAUAAACGCCAUUACCUUGCUCUUCUCCAUUAGCAUUCUGAGCCAAGGCUUGGUUUGCUGUGCGACCUAUACUUCCUGUGUGACCAUCCCAUAUUACUUGACUUGGCUGCUCAUCUUUCUUCUUCUCAAUCUCCGCUUUUACAGCAUUUGAGACUUCUUCUUCAGUUGUCCCAAAAAUAUCAGGACGCAGACGAGCAAGUCCGACUAUGUUUUUAGCAAUCUCAUCAUCUUGUGCAAGAGUGGUCUCGCGAAUCUUAGCAAACAUCCGGUCCUUCUGCUCCUUGAACUUGGGAUCAAUAAGCGAAAUCCGCAUGUGCUCAGACAUCUCAUUGAUGGGAAUCAACUCGCCAGUAAUUGGAGAUAUAACAACUUUAGUAGGAUCUCUCUCUGUCGGGAUCCUAUCUUCUGGCCUCUUCCAGUUCUUAACAAUUCUCAUAGGUGCUUCUUCGUUCAUAUUGUCAAUCUUCACAUAGCCACCAUUCUCUUCCAGGUUCGCUGCUCUCAUUCCAUCCGCAACAAGCUUCAUCUCUUCUUCAUCCAUUUCCAUCUCAGCUUCCUUUCCAGGCUCCACAACGUCAUCUUCUUCCAUCGCUGCCGAUACUUUGCUCCUCCUUAUAACCUCCUCAAGCGUCAUAGGCGGUGGCAACUCCUCGUCCUCGUCGUCAGCAAAAUCAAUAGACUCCACAACCACAAAAUCAUGCCAAUCAAUCAUAGCCAUCUGCACUCUCUCCUGCUCCUUCUCGUCCUCUUCUUUCUUCCUCUGCUGCUCCUGAGAACGAUCCCAUUCAAGACGAUGCAAACAACGCUCAAGAACCGUCGUCAAAUCAGCAGCACUCUUCCUCAGCUUCUCUUUCAAGUCUUCCGGAGGCUUUAACACAUCGAAGUACGCAUCAACCAGGGCAGUGAACAAAGGGAACAUGCUAUGAGUUGGCUUCAUAAAGAAAAACUGAGGAUUGUUAUUCUCUCUACUCUGCAACCCAGUCAAGAAAGACUUCCCAUUCCGCGCCACAAACUGAGCUGUGAGCUUAAUAUACUCAAGUUCCUCGCCUGUAAUCCCUUCAGGAAGUCUCACUGUAUACUUCUCAGGCUCCGGAGGUUCAAGAGGCUUCGGAGGAACCCGAAACUGAGCCUGAAGAUCAUGCUGUGCCUCACCCUCAUCACCACCAGCAUCAAGUUGAAGAUCUGCACCAACAAUAUCAGUACCCUGAGCUCCAUCUUCGUCCUGAGCACGAUACUCAGCGAGCUUAUGCUGGUAAAACGCAUGAUACGGAUCUGAGCUGGUCAAAAAGUUGAAUUUAGCAUUCUUGGCAUUGCUAGCCAUGAUCCUCUUCUCGAACUCCAGCCCGUUCUUGGAUACAAACUGUGCCGUUUUCUCCACGAUGCUUCUGAUAUCUGGAGGCGGGUGGAUGAUACCAAUAGUCCUCGUGUGAGUAGCUACAGACUCAGGAGCUUGAUUCGAGCUCUUCUGCUCUGAUUGCAGCUCUCUCUCUUCGAUUUCUUGAUCCGUUAGCUGCGAAGGAGGGAGAGGACCGAGGUUCCCGUCGGUGGGAGGAGCCUCGAGAGGCAGAAUCUGCAUCGAGCUUAACAUCUUCUGCAACAAGAGAAGGAUAAGAAAUCAACGUCGGAUCCUGAUUGAAUUCGUUGCGAGACCUAAUUGAUUGGAAUAGUAACUCAGCACAAAUUCUUAAACACACGAUGCGAGAGAGAGAGAGAUAGAAAGUAAAAGUGGAAUCGGCGACGCGGAUUACUACGGUUAUGAUUUAGGGUAGAGAGAUAAGAGACACCGUACCUCAGCCGGGAAUGAAUAAAACCGCCGCGACGUCGAAUAGAUGCGGAGGAGGAGGAGCAAGUUCGAGAUUUAAACCAACUUACAAGACGGUUCAAUGGAAACCGACCCGACCCUCUCGAGGAGAAUUAAUCUGAGACGAAACCGUAUUCGGGUUUACAGAUGGGCCACUCGAUUUAAAAUGGCCUUUUAAUAUCUAUAUGUAAUUGGGCCUUUUGAUAUUCACUGAUUCCCCAAAGUUAUCAAAUAGAUUCAAAUAGAUGCAAAUAUUUGCACAACGAUUAUGACUACCUUGAAUAAGAGCUUUGACAUUUAUUACAUACAAAAAAAAAAAUAGUCCGAAGGUAUGAUCAUCUUUUACAAUCCAUAAAAUAUAUAAAAAAGGAUACACGUAAGUAAGUUUAAUUUAUGUAGCCCAAAAUAACGAGAGAAGAAGAGAGACUGAGAAGAGAUGCUUUUUCAGGAAUAUAUCUCUCUUCUUUCUAACAACCUA